rnacentral:rRNA from 1 species
AAUCAACGCUGGCGGCGUGCCUCAGACAUGCAAGUCGAACGAUUAAAGCUCUCUUCGGAGAGUGUAUAGAGUGGCGCACGGGUGAGUAACACGUAAGUAAUCUACCUUUGAGUGGGGAAUAACAAUCGGAAACGGUUGCUAAUACCGCAUAAUGCAGCGGCAUCGCAAGAUGACAGUUGUUAAAGGAGCAAUCCGCUUAAAGAGGAGCUUGCGGCAGAUUAGCUAGUUGGUAAGGUAACGGCUUACCAAGGCUACGAUCUGUAUCCGGUCUAAGAGGACGGUCGGACACACUGACACUGAAUAACGGGUCAGACUCCUACGGAGGCAGCAGUCGGGAAUUUUGGGCAAUGGGCGCAAGCCUGACCCAGCAACGCCGCGUGAAGGAUGAAGUUUUUCGGAAU